CGGGCGGCAGGACAGGCGGGAGCGCACCCGCGGCCAGACCGAACCCGCGGCCCCCGCCGGGAGCAGAGCGAGCGAGCCGGCGAGCGAGCGGAGCCCGGGUGCGAGUUGGAAGUUUCUGGGGGGCGCCCACGCCUCUCCAGGGCCGCCUUUUCAAAUUCGGCGAGGCACCUGUGGAUAUACCCAGCCUUACUGAGCUGUCACUCUUCUACGUAAGAUUUUCAGCUGCCACCCCCCACCCCCAAGAUGGGGCCGCGGGAGCCAAGAAGAACGGAGAAGGGUUCAAUAGCAAUACGCUCUAAACUCCCCCCAGAGAACACCAAAAGAGACAGAGCAUGAGCAGGGGAAGGGCAGAGAGAAGGGAGACACAGAAUCCGAAGCAGGCUCCAGGCUCCGAGCUGUCGGCACAGAGCCCGACGCGGGGCUGGAACUCACCAACCGCGAGAUCAUGACCUGAGCCGAAGUCGGACCCUUAACCGACUGAGCCACCCAGGUGCCCUGAAACAAAACUUUAUUGUAAAACAAAUAUGAGACUAUUAUUGUGAAG